UGCCCCAGUUCAUGCAGAAAGUAUUUUUGCAAUAAUUGAAUAUUUUUUCCCAAUGCAAAGAGUACCAGUGGACAAUGCGAGUUCAUACCCCUGUAAAAUCACUUCCAUAACACCCAUUCCACAUCCAUUCAUCACGAACACGGUGCCAUUUUAUUUGUGCGUACUAAAACCUGUCCAGCAACCAAGCAAGCUCACGCCAGCCACCCCCAAAACUCCACACAUUUACCAUUCCUGUCUUCCUGUCUUCAUUUCCUCCUUCUUUUUCGAGAUACAAAUGCACCCGCUCGAACAAGUUCGUCCAGCACCAGCCGGCCCAGCAGGCCCCGCCGCGACUCUAUCAGGAAGCGUGAUCCCUGCCGUUACGCUUGUGACGCACUACUGGCCGCACCCGUUCACUGGGUCGCCGCAUUCUCCGCACGCUCGGGAAGCGUUCCCGCACGAUAAAUCCUAUCGCCACCAGCACCGUCCAAGCCGGCAAGAGACUUCUGAAUGCACCGACGGUUACUAAAAUCUGACUACGGUAUUACCUGGAGCAGCUGUUCGGCGAUCGGUGGCGCAAAUCGCGUCCGAACGCCACCCGCCCGGGACAGCAGCCCACGGCCAACGAGUUCGACGACACCGGGGGAAGCCAACCGGGCGCCCGGCCGGGCAGUGCCAGCUCGCGCCUGGUCACCACCAACACGACCGGCAGCACUGCGACCACCAUACUGGGCAGCACGGCGGCCACGUCCGGCUCGUCCGUUAGCGGACCGGGUCCCGGGGGCGGUGGCCCGUCGUCCACCGGCGGUUCAUCAUCGUCGGUCAAGUGUACGGUCGUUAACCGGCUGCACAGCAUCACCUCGGUGGGUGGGAGCGGUGCGUCGCGUGCCGCCGACCAGGAAGGGCCCGCCGGCAGCACGGGCAGUAACUCCAAAAAGCGACAGCAGCAACGCUCCCGCAUCACGUACGAUCGGGAGCAGGGCGUUCGGUUUUACCGCGGCACGGAAACAACCGAUAGCAACGAUUGUGAUUGUGAAGAUAUUUAGAUAAGUCGCGCCCCUCCUUCCGAUCCCCAGCUCCCCCACCCCCCCAGUCCCUGUUCGUACGCAGCUAGAAGCAGUAGGUAGCUACAAGCUCCCCCCAUCUCCCCCUCACCCUAGACAGGACCAAUAGUACACAUGCACACCCGGCAACCUGCCGGACAGCAACGCAUGCUUACGGGGUAAGUCUAACCAAUCUGCCAGCGUGCACGUGGUUAUAAGUGUGAUGUUGCAAAAGAUGAAACCGAACACAGCAAAACAUGGUGAAAAUGAUUAUGCAUGAGCGAUGUAUGUGUGUUUGUGUAUGUCUGCCUUGGCGUACGUUCCUUUGUGAUUCCAGGUGAUGAUGCGAUAGGCUAAAUUCAGGCAAACAUUAUAUUCAAACCCCAGAACAAACCAGCAGUGCGAAACGGUGCGGUAGUAUCAGCUGUGCGAAUAGUAGAAGUGAUGAGUGUUAUCCCCUUUUUAAAUAGGAAAUUAAACCCAUUUUGCGUAAAGUAGUGUGGUAAGGUAAGCUAAGUUAGUCAUGUUAAAAAAAAACAACAAAAACAGACGGUUACAAACACGUGCCAUUGAGGAGUGUGUAUGAGUGUGUGUACACUAAGGGUUUUGGGGCAUGCCGAAACAUACUGAGCCAUUGUUAUCAUUCUCAUACACCUUACCCUUUAGAAGCUGGUAGAAACUAGAGCAAGCAUUAGCUUGUUUCAACUGUUCCAUCUGUAUGCUUGUAAGGUGAAGGUUUGCCAGAGAAACUGGCACUGAAGCGAUGGAGACGCACGGUACUUUACUAGUACCGAUAAAUGUUUCUAAACUAUGGCUUGAUCGUGAACGAAUUGUCCGUGGAAUGACUUUAAACAACACAAAACGCCCUCCCGACAGUAACACUAAAGAUGGUAUGACCAAUGACGUUUGACGACAGGACACGCCUUCCAUGCACUUCCACCUUGGGCUGGUAAAUAGAGAGAUAUUUCUUAGAGCAACUAUGGUAAAAAAAAUCAAAACGGCAGUCCUCUCUAAAGUUUCUCUACACUUUUACCGAACGUACACAUAAAAUACUUCGCUCGCCUGCGUGUGGUCUGGCCUCUUUUUUUAAAGAAUGUACUACUACUUCGGUAGCUUUCUUAAACUGUUCAGGCAAGCUAAGCUAAUAAUAAUGUGCUUUCCACCACUUAUACAAAUGGUUUGAAUAGCUAACAACAAAAAAAAUAAUAAAGGCAACUUUGCGCCAGAUACGAAAACAAUUUACGUCACCACGAUAAAAUGAGAGAAUAAUUCAGGUCAGCAUCUUCUGGGAAGCACGGCACUGGCACGGUGUACCAGCGGACAAGCAGACAUUAGCAACUUUGCCAUCUUUUCCGGCCUCUUUUUAGUCAGUUGCCUCACUUCCGGUGGCGAACUGACCAUUCGCUACACUCGUGGCUGCAGGCGCCACGGGUUCCCGGCUCGCCCUGUGCCCGUUCGACGUGGGCGGAAUACAAAUUGAAAUAAUCUAAUCCUCACAGCGAUAUGCUGGACCGAAUGGCCGCAGAAUGUUGCACACGAAAAAAGUGCACUCACUGUCCCUCUGUCUCUCUCGUACUCUUUCUCGCUCUUUCUCCCUCACUCACACACACAUACGCGCAUCAGUUGUGGUUUCAAAGCAAAAUGUAAAAAAACAGCAUUUGCCGGAAGGAUUUGAUUCUUUUUUUUUUUGUUCCUUUUGCUGGGGAUGUUUGCGAAGUGAGACACACAUAACGAAGACCAUCUACGGAACAGUAACCUUCCGGUCGGAAUUCCAGUUCCAGGCUGGAUGGUACUGCUAGCCCCAGGCACUUAAAUGCUUCUGAACGAUAAAACGAAUGUGCAAGAUGCAGAAAAGGAUAAUUGUUCAUUGAGCCCUUUAUCAUAUAAUUAGGCAUGUGUAUGUGUGUAUAUGUGAGUGUGUUUGUGUCUGUGUCCGAUGGUACUGUAGCUGAAGGCGCUGUGUAAAAAUCCUUUGUGGGAUAUUUUCUCACACGGGCUCCGUGACAUCAAACACAUUGCUGCUGCCAACCUCGUUAUAUGGUAUACGAUGAAAACAAUGUAGUAUUUCCUUUCCUCUAAUCUGAGCUCAUUCGCGUUAUCGAUUCGAAGCAAUUCGGUGAGAUGCACCUUUUACCGGAACGGAAGUAUUGACCCCCCUUUUGGUUGUAGAUAACUAUAAAUUAGAAUAGUACAAGAAAAGCAGUAACUGCAUGGCGUUGCCACUGCGGGCAUUCGGCCAACAUGGAGCCAUAAAUUGUGCUCGGAGCUCGUGGUUGGUGAUUUCUGAUUAUUGAUACAUAAUAGAUCUGUAAUCGACCGUUGUGUACAGUAUACUUGGCACAUUAAACACGGUGAUAUUAUGCGCUUUAAAAUAUAACGAUAGGAAUACAGAACAAUAUAUGGUAAGAAGCUCAUCGUCAUAGAUAGUGGUGGUAAGGAUUUCUAGCGGCUAAGCGAUAGGAAACAGGAAAGAUAACUUCUCUCUGCUGUCUGCUUUCAUAGUAUGCAUGAUUCUUCACCUUGCAGAUAUUCAAAACAAGCAAUUAUCUAUUUAUUUAACUAUUGUUAUUCUAUCAUUUCGUCGAAAGUUGAACAUAGCAAACACUCUAUGCCCGUUUGAUACGUCUGUCAAUACAAUGACAAUGAUAAAUUCAAAGUCAAUGCGACAUGCACUACGUUUAAAACACGACUUCGAAUCGAAUGUUCGAUAAUAUAAUGGAAUUCUUUGUUUAUAUAUUGUUUUGAACAUUAGAUCCAGACAUAAACAAUGUGUUGCACAUAUUAGUUAUUGUUAUUGCAAUGUGUUUUUGUUAUUUUCAUCCAAAUUUAUUCCAAUGAGUAAAGCAAAUACACAUUUAUUUCUCUUCUAAAUAUUUAUCGAACUUUGCGUUUGAGAUUCAAUUCUUACUGAAUUAAUUUUAACACAAACUGCAUUAUUUUGGUUCGGAAAGUACAUUUACGUGGAGUACAUACUUCCAGUUUAAAUUAAACAAAACAUUACAACCUGCCACAGACGUAACACUGGCAUGGAUUUAAUUUUCUAUUAUGUACUACCACUGAAUGGAAGGCGCUUGUUUAAUGUUUACUGAAUAGAAGGCGAACAUUUAAUGAGAUUGCUAUGUUUCAGGGGCAUUUGUCGCUGUCGGAAACUAUAUUUUUCAGCGUUUCUGAGAUUGUUACUUUUUUCAAUCCCAUGAAACAUGGAGCCUUUGUCCUUCAUAUUUUUUGCUACUACUCUUGUUGCAUUAUUUUAAAAGGGUUAGCGUUGUACUUUGUAUUCGAAACAUAUAACGCUUUAGAAAAACAAACAAAUAAAGUUCUGCUUUACAUACUUUUCUACGUUUUAGAUUGCGCUAUCGUUUUCAAAUGUAUGUGUUACAUAAUGCAAUUAAAACCAUGCUAAACCCAUUCAAACAUCAGCACUUUGUAGAUCAUACUACCUACCACAGCUAAAGCAUGUUUAAAAAACAAAGCUUCCCUUAUGACAUGGUUUUCAUUUUAAUACAUAAAAUUCGCAACCUGACGUGUUUAAACAGAAUGGACGCGAAGCUGCUUCAUCUACACGCGACGGUAACGGACCUAACGUAAAGAUUUCCAAACCCGAACCGGUACCAUACCAGCUCGCUGGUUGGUGUAUCGUUCGACAUAUGUAAUUAUCCGAAUCAAAACUGCAUCAACUCAGCGAGCGCUACUACGCUACGCAAUUGUUUGGUUUCCACUGUCGACGUACUGAUAUAAUGUUGCUCCCUUUCAUAUCGUACCAUCAUGGUACAAUAGUCAUACAGUGAUAAGAUAAUUAUACCGAUAGCACAUAGAAAUAUACGCAUUAAGAGACUAAGAACUUAGUAUGUAUAUCAAUAUAUAGCGAACCAAAUGUGAACUGAGUAUGGGAAGAAGAUGGUAGUCACGUUGACGAUGUGCAGUUGCUAGCUCGGUACUUCUUCUGCCAUACAGAGCUUACUUGUGUAACAGGUAGACGAAUGUGUUGGUUUAACAGUUGUUUUAUGUGCAUUGUUUUUAAUUAAUAUAUCGUACGAAUAAUUAUAGGUAUGGAAGUGCUUCGUUUUUCGAUUGCUUUAGAUUGAUUGAACAGAGCUACAGAACUAUAUAGCAUAACUACACAUAGAACUACAUAAAUAAACGGAGCUUUAAACAGCUUUAACAUAAUUUAAUACACUCUUUUCUAAUUCAGGUAAUAUUAACCAAAGUCGUCGAAUAAGCUUGAGCAUGAACGAAGCAAACCAGCUAACAACUCACACCGUGCAAUCGUGACACACGUUUGCUUCAAUGACCUAUUGAAGCAAACAUGAAAAAAGACAAACAUAAAAUUGCUUUGGAAGAUUGCUUUAAACAAUUGUACAUAAUUUUGAAACAAUUCAAACAAAACGAACGAAAAUCGAUCAACAGAGUAACAAACUAAAUACAAUAACACAACUAAGGUAGAUCACGGCACGACCGUAGCGUGUUGAUUGCGAGUGGGGUGUGGCUCGAAUUCAAACAUAAAAAUAGGAGAUUGAAUGCAAGAAGCGUAACGGCACGGCAACGGAGCACAGUCUCUGCCAAGAAAACUGCGCGUCAGAAGGAAAGCUGCGUUACGAUACGGGCAGGGUGGUGGUUUUUAACUGUAAAAGAUAACAUACUUUACCGCCUCCGCUUUUCACUGCAAUGCGGGGCAAAAUCGACGUAAAAACAAUAUCAACCCUGUUUGCAGCGUAUGUGUGCGAUGCUUUUCAAUUUCACCCUUUUCCAUCCCGGUUACCCGGUGAAAAGUUUCAACCUCCUAUCAUUUAACACCCUAUCUCGGGAAACGGGAAACCCCGCUUUGUGUAACAUAACCAUCAAAAAGCAAGCUUCCUGUCGGGAAGGGAUUUUUUACACGCUGGGUUGUUUUGUCUGUUAUCAGAUUUCUUCUUAACACUUGUAAAGUGUAUUAACAUAUGGGACCUUCCCCAUCCUGCCAUUUGCUCGCUGAGAAUUUACGAAUUUAGCUCCAUAUUACCCGCCACAUUAUCUGGUGUGCUAGAUUGCUACCGUGUCACUUAGAUACGUGUGACGGUACGAUGAAAGCUCGGACAGACAGUUUGCCUACGGGCUUUAAUAUAACCAACCAAACACACAUACACCCAUACCAUACUGUUGUUCCUAUACAUUUAACAUCGUUACAGAUUCUGCUAGCAAACAAAAAUCCUCCUACCACACAAUAUCCUUCGCAAAAAGUAAGAAUAGAAAAUGAAGCUAUACACAGCACACAAACCCGAGCAUUAACAUAGAAAUUAACGCAUUAGAAAUAUUGACAACGUGCCUUAAGAUAUAGUUUGUGCUUUUGUUGUCGCUCGUUUUCCAUCGGGUGCAAGUGUAGGGAGUGGUGCAAAUAGUGGGGAAAUCUAUUUUUGAUAACUAAAAGCAUAAAAAAGCAGAGCAAAUCCCUGCAACAAUUGAGGUGUAUCAUUACGACCGUGGUACGGUGGUAUGCAGGGUGAGCCUGCGGGCUCAUGUGGGUUUUGUAUGGAUAUUAAGCAUCCCAGUAAGUGUGGAAAACGAGUGAAAAAGGCGACAACAAAGCACGGAAUCAUUAACAAGAAACAUACUACUCAUGGUUAUGUGUUUCAUAUGGCCGGCAUAAAAAAGCUAGACGUAAGGAUCUUCCUGUACGGCUUGAGCCAACCGUCGGAAGGAUGUACCAAAUAAUGCUCACAAACAACUCAAUGCAUGCUCCUGGAGGUGUUGAAUAUUUAGAAAGCGUGCUGUGUUACAACACAGUUUUAUGUAUCUGUUAAUCCAUUUCACAAAUUGCACAGCUGCGUUUAAUGUUUAAUGCUUUGCUAUCUGGUUUUACACAAAACUUUCAAUUGAAAAACCAAAAUCUCUUAUACCUUUGCUUUAGAAAUCCACCUCUUUACUCGCUUCUGUUCCAAACACAAUCGUUUAUCCUCCAUCAUGAUUCAUUACCACAGAAACGACAGAAAGAUAUGAAAAAAACGCUAGAAUAACGAAACUAAACAAUACACCACGUAUUACCUAAAAGGCUUCCAUAUAAGUGUGUUGUCCCCCGGGGAGCAUACGACCGUCGGUUUGUAAAUAUUUGUUUAGAGAGGAAUGCUUUGUAAAUAUGUAGGCGCAGAUAACAUCCACCAACAAUCUCCCAAAAACAAACCGACCACAAAGACAUAUAAAUCCUGCAUAGUCAAGAUUUCCUUUCUCCAAUGUGUUUAUGUAUGUGUGUGUGCACAAAUAUACCAAAUAUACUAAGGUGGAAGUGCAAAGAAGGUCCAAUGUAGGUGGAAAACUAAGCGGAUUUAACGAAUAAACUUAGCCAUCGCCAGCACACAUUCACAUCGACACACAACUACUACACAACACAAAACAAGAUUCUGAAAUUCAAAAGGGACGUACUUCAGACCACGAAGUAGCAGGUGAACAAGACGCACAGGAAUGUACUUGUAAGGGACGGUGGGGGAAGGGAGGGAAGGCAUCUACAACGCUACAAGCAUACUCUCGAGACUCGGCAGGAUGCCUGUACGGUACACACACUCCGGUAGUAAUCUCCUUCGCCGUGGCUUCUCAUCGAAUACCCAGAAACCUAUCAUACACACGUACAUUAUAUUCGUUCUGAUAUUUAGAUAGCGGCUUUAAUAAUUUGUUGACUCGAUUUUUAAGAUAUUCCAAUUGAAAGGUAAGCUACAAUUAGGCACUAAUUAGAGGCCCUGGAAAAGGAACACGUCUGGAAAGCUCAUUUCCAUCCGUGUCUGUGCGUGUGUGAGUGUGUAAGGAAAGAAGGAUGCAAAUAGUCGAUGUUUAAAUGCGGUAGCCAGCUAAGAUACAAGGCAUAAUGGAUUAGGGCUAACAAUUCAGAACAAACUACAGGCAUGCACGGGGGGGAAGGUGCAACCCGUAUUUCCGUGGUAGGGUUACGCGAUUUCAACAAAAUUCCUUGAAUGAUAGAUUACACACUACUCCAGAGUCUAUAAUGAACUGUUAACUCGUUUCUCUGUAUAUUGCACGAUUUGCCUGUAACAGUACGUGCGUGUUUGUAUGUGUGGGUUGGCGUAAUAAUAUGAUAAGAACCGUUUGUAUGAGACUUAAGAAGCAUAGGCAUACGCUCGCAUAACUAAACAGGACCCCAACGGAUAUGUAGGAGAUAGGACACCGAACAAAAUUUAAAAAAAAAACACCAUCCAAACCCGCAAACGAUUCAGCCGGUAGGGAGAACAUAUAAUCAAAAGUGUCCUACAGACGAGAUAAUGUAUAACAUGUAUCGGAUGAUGCAAUCGACAAAUAAAAGAGCAUUCUUUCGCAGCGAUAGGUUGCCAAAUUAAUCUGAUUGGGACAUUUCCAUGCAGUCAUGGAACAACAGAGACAACAGAGUGCCGGAAUAAAGAUUGCAGCUAUGUAGAUUACAUUGAUGAAAAAAUAUACAUAUAUUUUUGUUUACUUUUUUACUAGCCUGCUCUCAUCUGCUACCAUAAAAACAUAAUCGUUUAAUUACAUCGCUGCAUAACAAACAGCUAAUCGGUAGGAAUGCUCCAAAUCGAUUAAAAAAAAGAGAUAAACAGCAAGAUAAAACAUGCUAUAAAACAUGUACCGAACAUGAGCCGACCUGCUCGCGAUUACAAGACCUCCCCCUCCCCCCCUCCCCUCCCUCCACCCCUCUUCAUACGCAGCAAGAUUUGAUGGGACGGCAUGGGCCGUGAAAUGAAAUCAAAAUGGACAGCGAAUUAAAUGCAUUAUUCCUCGGCUCAUUAGCGCGCUUUUGACACUGCACCAACGGACGACGACGGCGGAAUUUAUCUUCAAUGCUACGAUGGCCGUUUUUUUGUUGCUACACUUCCGUUGCUCGUUCAUGAGACACGCGGGAACCCUAGACGGGGACAGCGCGUGGCUGAUAAACAUUCUGUAAAUUGAAAAUUUAAUUUAACGCUCCACUUGUACGGUGAAGUCGAUUAAAAAACGAGCUGGCACAAAACAAAACAAAAAGCUACUAAAUGUGCAGAGACAAGCCAGUGCAUGUGGUGGCAGGUGGAAGCAUUUAAUUUACAAUGUACGCAAAUGAUAAGUUUGAAUGUGCAAUAAAAAAAGGUAUCGGGAACCCAUGCGCCCGAAUAAACAGUAGGACAAGCGAAUCACUGAGUAAUUGGGUAAAUUGAUUAAUUUUGCUAUUUUCAUUGUCCAUGCUCGUCCCAGUACCAGGAACACAGACCCGAACCGUACAAUGAGUGUACGGGAAUGGAAACAUGCUUUCCACAGAAAAAGGGACGCCACUUUUAUAUCAAUAUACUAUUUAUCGGCUUAAAAUAACCUUAUAGAGUGGGAAAAAUCGGAACAUAAAAUAAAUCAAAUUGUUGAAAAAUCGCAACAAAACAGUAAAAACAGAACGCCCUCGAAAGGAAUUCAUAUUAAAACAAAAAAAAAAAUUAGCAUGUUUCUAAAAUAAACGUUUAAUGUUUACGACCAAAUCAAAACUAAACAAACACGCUAAAGCCCGUGUACGAAUUAAAACCGGAAGGAAUUAAAUAAAGUUAGAGAAGAUUAAACUUAGAGAUGAAUCCGCUGGGUGGGAUGUGUUACAAAUGUAAGCCCAGAGUGUGUAUGUGAGUGUGGUGCAUGUAGAGUAAUGUAUAUGCGAAAUACAUCGACUUUAGUCCAGUAAUAAAUCUAAUAUAAAAAUCGAAGAGGAUAGAAACAUACAAACUUUAAAACAAAUACAAUUUAAAACCCGCUAACUACUGCUCGUUCAUUCAAAAAAGUAUAAACAUCUAGUAUAAACUGAUAUUAUCAAUUUAAACUAAACAGACAAAAGGGGAUACACAACUCCUUCCGCUAAACCGUAAACAGUAAAACUCUGUUGUAAUUAUUGUAAACCUUGCAUAAACCGAUAGCGAUAAGCGAGCACCACAGCUAGUGAGGAAUGGAUCUGGGCCAUCCGCCAUAAUAGCUUUUAUCGUUCCGACGAUAGUAACGAAACGUCUCGGCGCGUGUAAACAUAUGGAGGGUAAAAGGAAACAAAUCGAUUCUAGAGAAAGGGAAACAGUAAGUGCGCAGAGCGUAGCAAUGCAUAGUGAAGAAACUAAUUAAUUCUGUUAUAUUCAAACUGAUGGUAACGAUGAUGAUGUCUUGUACAUAACCCUACGAAUAAUGCACAGAAACAAAGCGUAACAAAACAAGAGAAGGUAACCAAGAUAGAAAGAAAUGAAAUAGAACGAGAGAAAGUUUAAGAGAAAACCAAUACAACAAAAAUAAACAACCAGAUGAAAUGAACAAUUUGAAAUAAAGACGAUUGAAAUAUUUAAAACCGAA